AGUGUAGGCGGUUUAGCAAGUCGGAUGUGAAAUCCCAGGGCCCAACCCUGGAACUGCAUCCGAUACUGUUAGGCUAGAGUCCCGGAGAGGAUGGCGGAAUUCCCGGUGUAGGGUUGAAAUCCGUAGAUAUCGGGAGGAACACCAGUGGCGAAGGCGGCCAUCUGGACGGUGACUGACGCUGAGACUCGAAAGCGUGGGUAGCAAACAGGAUUAGAUACCCUGGUAGUCC
rnacentral:rRNA from 1 species